rfam:Rattus norvegicus chromosome 10, whole genome shotgun sequence.
GGGGAUUUAGCUCAGUGGUAGAGCGCUUGCCUAAGGAAGCGCAAGGCCCUGGGUUCGGUCCCCAGCUCCG